UUCUUCUUUUGUUUUAUCUUUCCCCUCAUUUUUCUCACCUUUACUCCGUAUUUUUUGAUCCCAUUUUUCCCAUUUUUCCUCACUUUUAUCCCAUUUUUCCUCACCUUUAUUCACUGUUCCCACUUUCUCUCCUUAUUCCAUUUUCUCAUUCCAUAUUUCUCGUUUUUCUCACCCCAUUUCCUCCCAUUUUCCCCUCAUUUCUCUCCCCUUUCCAACCUUCCCCCCAUUUUCUCCCACCUUUCCAUUCUCCACUCACCUCCCCACGUUUCCAUUCUGUUCUUCCCUUCAUUUUCCUCAUCACUCCUUUUCCCUUUCUUUUUCCUCUUUNNNNNNNNNNNNNNNNNNNNNNNNNNNNNNNNNNNNNNNNNNNNNNNNNNNNNNNNNNNNNNNNNNNNNNNNNNNNNUUUCCCUUUCCUCUCUUUCUCCUUUCCUUCUUUUCCUCUUCCCUUCCUCUCCCUAUUUUCCUUUCACCUUCCUCUUUUCUCCUCCACUUCCUCUUUCCUUCCCAUCUCCCUCUCCUUUUCCUCUUUCCUCCUCCUUUCCCUCUAUCCUUACCCCUUCCCUCUCCUUUUCCCCUUCUGUUUUCUUUCCUUCCUCCUUCUCUCUUCAUUUCCUCUUUACCAUUCCACUUCCUCUUCCCCUCUCCCUUCUCCAUUUCUUCUUCCCUUCAUUCUCUCCAUUUUCUCUUCCCUCCCUUUUUCCUUUCUUCCUCUUUCUCUCCCCAUUUCCUCACCCCUUUUCCCUCCCCACUUCCUCUCCUUCCCCCCUUUCCCCCCCCACUUCCUCUCCUUACCCCUUUUCCCUCCCCAUUUCCUCUCCUUCCCCCCUUUCCCUCCCCAUUUCCUCUUCCCAUCCCCUCUUCCUUUCCCUUUUCCUCCUUUCCAUUUCCCCUUCCCCCUUCCCUCUCCAUUUCCUUUCCUUCCUCUUUUCCUUUUCCUUUCCCCUCCCUUUUCCUCUCUCCAUUCCUCUUUUCCUCUUCUUUUCCCCCAUUCCCCCCAGUUCUCACUUCCCGACCCCUUUCACACCCCCCAUUCCCCCUUUUCCCCUCACAAUCCCCACUUCCCCCCUCACCCCAUUCAUUUUCCUGUUACCGUUCCCUCCCCCAUUUUCCUUUUCCCCCAUUUUCCCUUUAUUUCUCCCUCACCCUUCCUCAUUUUCCCACUCCUACUUUUUCACACCUCAUUUUUCCCUCCUAAUUCCCUAUUUUUAAUUUUCCUCACACCAUUUUUCAUCCUUUCCCUCUAUCCUUACCCCUUCCCUCUCCUUUUCCCCUUCUGUUUUCUUUCCUUCCUCCUUCUCUCUUCAUUUCCUCUUUACCAUUCCACUUCCUCUUCCCCUCUCCCUUCUCCAUUUCUUCUUCCCUUCCUUCUCUCCAUUUUCUCUUCCCUCCCUUUUUCCUUUCUUCCUCUUUCUCUCCCCAUUUCCUCACCCCUUUUCCCUCCCCACUUCCUCUCCUUCCCCCCUUUCCCUCCCCACUUCCUCUCCUUACCCCUUUUCCCUCCCCAUUUCCUCUCCUUCCCCCCUUUCCCUCCCCAUUUCCUCUUCCCAUCCCCUCUUCCUUUCCCUUUUCCUCCUUCCCAUUUCCCCUUCCCUCUCCAUUUCCUUUCCUUCCUCUUUUCCUUUUCCUUUCCCCUCCCUUUUCCUCUCUCCAUUCCUCUUUUCCUCUUCUUUUCCCCCAUUCCCCCCAGUUCUCACUUCCUGGACCCCUUUCCCACCCCCCCCCUCCCCCCCCAUUCCCCCUUUUCCCCUCACAAUCCCCACUUCCCCCCUCACCCCAUUCAUUUUCCUGUUACCGUUCCCUCCCCCAUUUUCCUUUUCCCCCAUUUUCCCUUUAUUUCUCCCUCACCCUUCCUCAUUUUCCCACUCCUACUUUUUCACACCUCAUUUUUCCCUCCUAAUUCCCUAUUUUUAAUUUUCCUCACCCCAUUUUUCAUAUUUACCUCUCACAUUUCCUUUUUUUUUUCCACCUCCUUCCUUCCUUCCCAUUUCCUAUUCAGUUUUUCCUCUUUUUCCUCCCAUUCCUCCUCGUUUCCCAUCGUGUUUUCACCACCACGGCUGUGCCACGCAUCACCUUCACACCCCACGUUGGUGUCUGUCCCUAAAAACACCUUUUUCUCCCCAUUUUCGGGGCUCUUACCACUCGGCACAGCUCCACGUGCCCCACUGAACGUUUUUUUUCGGUGCGUUUUCGCUCCUUUUGGUCAAUUCCUCUCAUCACCUCUGCCCUCAAUUCUUCAGUUUCAUUUUUGA
ensembl:lncRNA